GAUGAAGAACGUAGCGAAAUGCGAUAAGUAAUGUGAAUUGCAGAAUUCAGUGAAUCAUCGAAUCUUUGAACGCACAUUGCGCCCGCCAGUAUUCUGGCGGGCAUGCCUGUUCGAGCGUCAUUUCAACCAUCAAGCCCCCGGGCUUGUGUUGGGGACCUGCGGCUGCCGCAGGCCCUGAAAAGCAGUGGCGGGCUCGCUGUCACACCGAGCGUAGUAGAUUUUAUCUCGCUCUGGGCGUGCUGCGGGUUCCGGCCGUUAAACCACCCUUUCAACCCAAGGUUGACCUCGGAUCAGGUAGGAAGACCCGCUGAACUUAAGCAUAUCAAUAAGCGGAGGA
rnacentral:misc_RNA from 1 species